AGAGUUUGAUCCUGGCUCACAGCGAACGCUGGCGGCGUGCUUAACACAUGCAAGUCGAGUGCGCGCCUGUAGCAAUACAGGUGGCGCACGGCGCACGGGUGCGUAACACGUGGGUAAUCUGCCCUUCGAUGGGGAAUAACUCGCCGAAAGGCGAGCUAAUUCCGCAUAACAUUCCGAGGACUUUGGUUCUUGGAUUCAAAGGCGUAAGUCGUCGGAGGAGGAGCCCGCGCACGAUUAGCUAGUUGGUGAGGUAAUGGCUCACCAAGGCUAUGAUCGUUAGCUGGUCUGAGAGGAUGGCCAGCCACACUGGAACUGAGACACGGUCCAGACUCCUACGGGAGGCAGCAGUGGGGAAUCUUGCACAAUGGGCGAAAGCCUGAUGCAGCGACGCCGCGUGGGGGAUGAAGCUUUUCGGAGUGUAAACCCCUUUCGACCCGGACGAAUGCCUCGCAAGAGGACUGACGGUACGGGUAUAAGAAGCCCCGGCUAACUACGUGCCAGCAGCCGCGGUAAGACGUAGGGGGCCAGCGUUGCUCGGAAUUACUGGGUGUAAAGGGUUCGUAGGCGGUGUGGCAAGUCGGGAGUGAAAUCUCUGGGCUCAACCCAGAGUCUGCUUCCGAAACUGCUGUGCUUGAGUGUGGGAGAGGCGCGUGGAAUUGCAGGUGUAGCGGUGAAAUGCGUAGAUAUCUGCAGGAACACCCGUGGCGAAAGCAGCGCGCUGGACCACUACUGACGCUGAGGAACGAAAGCUAGGGGAGCAAACAGGAUUAGAUACCCUGGUAGUCCUAGCCCUAAACGAUCACGACUUGGGGUGCGCCCGUUUCGGGCGUCGUCCCGGACUACCCGUUAAGUCCUGCACUGGGAUACGUCGCAGACUGAACUCAAGGAAUGACGGGGC
rnacentral:rRNA from 1 species